UGGGGAAUAUUGCGCAAUGGGGGGAACCCUGACGCAGCAACGCCGCGUGAAGGAUGAAGGUUUUCGGAUUGUAAACUUCUUUGAUGAGGGACGAAAGAAAUGACGGUACCUCAAAAACAAGCCACGGCUAACUACGUGCCAGCAGCCGCGGUAAUACGUAGGGGGCGAGCGUUGUCCGGAAUGAUUGGGCGUAAAGGGCGCGUAGGCGGCCUGUUAAGUCUGGAGUGAAAUUCCUGCUUUCAAGGUAGGAAGUGCUUUGGAAACUGGCGGGCUGGAGUGCAGGAGAGGUUAGCGGAAUUCCCGGUGUAGCGGUGAAAUGCGUAGAGAUCGGGAGGAACACCAGUGGCGAAGGCGGCUAACUGGACUGUAACUGACGCUGAAGCGCGAAAGUGUGGGGAGCAAACAGG
rnacentral:rRNA from 1 species